rnacentral:rRNA from 1 species
AGAGUUUGAUCAUGGCUCAGAACGAACGCUGGCGGCGUGCUUAACACAUGCAAGUCGAGUGCGCGCCUGUAGCAAUACAGGUGGCGCACGGCGCACGGGUGCGUAACACGUGGGUAAUCUGCCCUCUGAUGGGGAAUAACCCGCCGAAAGGCGGGCUAAUUCCGCAUAAAAUUCCUUGAUCUUAUGACCGAGGACUCAAAGGCGUAAGUCGUCGGAGGAGGAGCCCGCGCACGAUUAGCUAGUUGGUAGGGUAAUGGCCUACCAAGGCUUUGAUCGUUAGCUGGUCUGAGAGGAUGGCCAGCCACACUGGAACUGAGACACGGUCCAGACUCCUACGGGAGGCAGCAGUGGGGAAUCUUGCACAAUGGGCGAAAGCCUGAUGCAGCGACGCCGCGUGGGGGAUGAAGCAUCUCGGUGUGUAAACCCCUUUCGAUCCGGACGAAUACCUCGCAAGAGGGGUGACGGUACGGAUAUAAGAAGCCCCGGCUAACUACGUGCCAGCAGCCGCGGUAAGACGUAGGGGGCCAGCGUUGUUCGGAAUUACUGGGUGUAAAGGGUUCGUAGGCGGUGUGGCAAGUUGGGAGUGAAAUCUCUGGGCUCAACCCAGAGGCUGCUUCCAAAACUGCUGUGCUUGAGUGUGAGAGAGGCUCGUGGAAUUGCAGGUGUAGCGGUGAAAUGCGUAGAUAUCUGCAGGAACACCCGUGGCGAAAGCGGCGAGCUGGAUCACUACUGACGCUGAGGAACGAAAGCUAGGGGAGCAAACAGGAUUAGAUACCCUGGUAGUCCUAGCCCUAAACGAUCAGGACUUGGGGUGCCACCCGUUCGGGUGUCGUCCCGGAGCUAACGCGUUAAGUCCUGCACCUGGGGAGUACGUCGCAGACUGAAACUCAAAGGAAUUGACGGGGCCCGCACAAGCGGUGGAACAUGGUGGUUCAAUUCGACGCUACGCGAGGAACCUUACCUGGGCUCGAU